rnacentral:rRNA from 1 species
UACGGGGGGGGUAAGCGUUGUUCGGAAUUACUGGGCGUAAAGGGCUCGUAGGCGGCCAACUAAGUCGGACGUGAAAUCCCUCAGCUUAACUGGGGAACUGCGUCCGAUACUGGAUGGCUUGGAUUUGGGAGAGGGAUGCGGAAUUCCAGGUGUAGCGGUGAAAUGCGUAGAUAUCUGGAGGAACACCGGUGGCGAAGGCGGCGUUCUGGACUGUUUCUGACACUGAAAAACGAAAGCCAGGGGAGCAAACGGG